GGCGGACGGGUGAGUAACACGUAGGCAACCAGCCUGUAAGACUGGGAUAACUCGUGGAAACGCGAGCUAAUACCGGAUAACACUUUUCAUCUCCUGAUGAGAAGUUGAAAGGCGGCUUUUGCUGUCACUUACAGAUGGGCCUGCGGCGCAUUAGCUAGUUGGUAAGGUAACGGCUUACCAAGGCGACGAUGCGUAGCCGACCUGAGAGGGUGAUCGGCCACACUGGGACUGAGACACGGCCCAGACUCCUACGGGCGGCAGCAGUAGGGAAUCUUCCGCAAUGGACGAAAGUCUGACGGAGCAACGCCGCGUGAGUGAUGAAGGUUUUCGGAUCGUAAAACUCUGUUGUUAGGGAAGAACAAGUACUAUAGUUACUGAUAGUACCUUGACGGUACCUUACCAGAAAGCCACGGCUAACUACGUGCCAGCAGCCGCGGUAAUACGUAGGUGGCAAGCGUUGUCCGGAAUUAUUGGGCGUAAAGCGCUCGCAGGCGGUUCUUUAAGUCUGAUGUGAAAUCUUACGGCUCCACCGUAAACGUGCAUUGGAAACUGGGGAACUUGAGUGCAGAAGAGGAGAGUGGAAUUCCACGUGUAGCGGUGAAAUGAGUAGAGAUGUGGAGGAACACCAGUGGCGAAGGCGACUCU
rnacentral:rRNA from 1 species